rnacentral:siRNA from 1 species
AAGUACAAGUGUAUGGCGCUGUUG